rnacentral:lncRNA from 1 species
UACAGACACAUGCCUAGAACCCCGACCAGGGGUAUUCUAUUUGCUACCCAAGAUCCAUAAACCUGGAAACCCUGGACGCCCCAUCAUCACAGGCAUUGGCACCCUAACAGGAGGAUUGUCUGGCUAUGUGGACUCUCUCCUCAGGCCCUACGCUACCAGCACUCCCAGCUAUCUUCAAGAAACCACUGACUUCCUGAGGAAACUACAAUCCAUUUGUGAUCUUCCAGAAAACACCAUCCUGGCCACUAUGGAUGUAGAAGCCCUCUACACCAACAUUCCACACAAAGAUGGACUACAAGGUAUCAGGAACAGUAUCCCCGAUAAUGUCACAGCAAACCUGGUGGCUGAACUUUGUGACUUUGUUCUCACCCACAACUAUUUCACAUUUGGGGACAAUAUAUACCUUCAAGUCAGUGGCACUGCUAUGGGUACCCGGAUAGCCCCACGGUAUGCCAACAUUUUUAUGGCUGACUUAGAACUACGCUUCCUUAUCUCUCAUCCCCUAACACCCCUACUCUACUUGUGCUACAUUGACAAUAUCUUCAUCAUUUGGUCCCAUGGAAAAGAAGCCCUUGAGGAAUUCUACCAUGAUUUCAACAAUUUCCAUCCCACCAUCAACCUCAGCCUAGACCAGUCCACACAUUUCCUGGGCACUACUGUGCUAAUAAGUGAUGGUCACAUAAACACCACCGUAUACCAGAAACCUACUGACUGCUAUAUUUACCUACAUGCCUCCAGCUUCCAUCCAGGACACACCACACGAUCCAUUGUCUACAGCCAAGCUCUAAGAGACAACCGUAUUUGCUCCAAUCCCUCAGACAGAGACAAACACCUACAAGAUCUCUAUCAAGCAUUCUUAAAACUACAAUACCCACCUGCUGAAGUGAAAGAAACAAAUGGACAGAGCCAGAAGAGUACCCAGAAGUCACCUACUACAGGACAGGCCCAACAAAGAAAGUAACAGAACGCCACUAGCCGUCACUUUCAGCCCCCAACUAAAACCUCUCCAGCGCAUCAUCAAAGAUAUACAACCU